GUCAAUCCUUGGCUGCGGUGCUCAAGUCCUUCGCGUUGGCGCUUUGAGCCUGUGCACGUGGUGGGAAACCAUUACCUUGGGACACCACCCAGUGUGAAGUGUGGGAUUGCCACAGUUCACAUUCCCCAGGUUUCCCAAGAAGGAGGAGAAGCCAUCAGAACACAUCAACUUAAAAGUGGUGGGUCAAGAUGGCCAGAUUGUGCACUUUAAAAUAAAAAAGCACACAUCCCUUAAGAAGCUCAUAAAUGCAUACUGUGAAAGAUCGAAACUUGUUCAAACUACAGUGAG